UUGACCUCGGAUCAGGUAGGGAUACCCGCUGAACUUAAGCAUAUCAAUAAGCGGAGGAAAAGAAACCAACAGGGAUUGCUCUAGUAACGGCGAGUGAAGCAGCAAUAGCUCAAAUUUGAAAUCUGGCGUCUUCGACGUCCGAGUUGUAAUUUGUAGAGGAUGCUUCUGAGUAACCACCGACCUAAGUUCCUUGGAACAGGACGUCAUAGAGGGUGAGAAUCCCGUAUGCGGUCGGAAAGGUGCUCUAUACGUAGCUCCUUCGACGAGUCGAGUUGUUUGGGAAUGCAGCUCUAAAUGGGAGGUAAAUUUCUUCUAAAGAUAAAUAUUGGCCAGAGACCGAUAGCGCACAAGUAGAGUGAUCGAAAGAUGAAAAGCACUUUGGAAAGAGAGUUAAAAAGCACGUGAAAUUGUUAAAAGGGAAGGGAUUGCAACCAGACUUGCUCGCGGUGUUCCG
rnacentral:rRNA from 1 species